rnacentral:snRNA from 1 species
GUGGAUAUAACUCGAUAAGUAAU